ACAGCGUGCCGGCCGGCCCGAGGUUGUUCCCGCUGGGCUGUUGGCAGCCGCUCCGCUGCGCCUCUGGGCAGACGCCGGCCGGGAUUGUGCCGGGAUCCGGAGCCCCCGGGUGCGCCGCAGGCUCCUUCCACUGCAUCCGGGAAACGGCCUCGCCCUCUCCGGCCCGUGACUGCCGGCUUCUGGGCUCCAGAACCGUGAAAGAAUACAUUUCUGUUGUUUUAAGCCACGCAGUUUAUGGUGAUUUGUUACAGCAGCCCUAGAAAACCAAUACACGAGGCCAUACGGAACACUGGUGAUUGAUGCUUUCUGAGAUGCUGUGGUUCACUGGCAAGAUACAACAAAUGACUUGCUAUCUGCACAACUUAGACAGUUUCUCAUCCCCUCUGAACCUCAGCUUCCUCAUUUGUGAAAUGGAGGUAACGGUACCUGCCUCACACCGCCAGGAAAUCCUGCUGAGAGGAUUUCUCGUUAGAGACUGGAUGCAGAGAGCCUGGCAUAGAAUAAGUGUUCAGUAAAUGUUACUUCCCCUAUUAAACUUUCAUCUCUUCUUUGGAGCUGAUUAUUAAUGACCUUGAGGGGAAACUCCCUCAUUCCUCAGAGCAUUCAUUCAGAAUUACUUUGACAAGAGCCUGGAAGUAGUAAGAGGCAACCACUACGCAUGAUUUACUGUAAAUCAGAAUCAGUGGGUUCAAAAUGAAAGUCAUCAUCUUCCCCAGAAACUAGCCCCUCACUUCCCUGUUUUUGUUGCCCAGAUACAGAUAGCCCUGGCCCUUCCCAUGCCUGUGUCUAGCCCGUUAUCUAGUUCCUGUGUUUUCAAAACUUUUUUGAACGUGACCCAGGACACAUUGAUGAUGUACGUGUGAAACAAAAGCUUUAUUUAAAAAUACUUGUACCAACAAGGACCUACUGUAUAGCACAGGGAACUUUACUAAGUAUUUUGUAAUAACCUAUAAUGGAAAAGAAUCUGACAAAGAACAUAUAUAUAUAUAUAUAUAUAUAUAUUUAACUGAAUCACUUUGCUGUAUGCCUGAAACUAACACAGCAUGGUAAAUCAACUAUAUGUCAAUUUAAAAAAAGAGAGAGGGGCUUCCCUGGUGGUGCAGUGGUUAAGAAUCAGCUUGCCAAUGCAGGGGACAUGGGUUUGAUCUCUGGUCUGGGAAGAUCCCACAUGCCACGGAGCAACUCAGCCCAUGUGCCACAACUACUGAACCUGUACUCUAGAGCCCGUGAGUCACAACUACUGAGCCCACAUGCCACAACUACUGAAGCCUGCACACCUAGAGCCUGUGCUCUGCAACAAGAGAAGCCACCGCACUGAGAAGCCCGCGCACCUCAAUGAAGAGUAGCCCCCACUUGACGCAACUAGAGAAAGCCCGCAUGCAGCAACAAAGACCCAAAGGGGCCAAAAAUAAAUUAAAAAAUAAUAAGAUUUUUAAAUAAAUAAAUAGACAAAUAGGUGAAUUCCAUCAGAUUCUUCUGCAUGACUAUUUGAGCUUCCCCUGUUACACAUGCCUGCCCGUUAUUUCUUUCCUUCAGAAAGGAAAACACUUCCAACAAGGACCUACUGCAUAGCACAGGAACUAUAUUCAAUAUUUUGUAAUAACCUAUAAGGGAAAAGAAUCUGAAAAAGAACAUAUAUAUAUUUACUUACAUAUAUGUAUAAAUGAAUUGCUGUGCUGUACACCUGAAACUAACAUGAUAUUGUAAACCAACUGUACUUCAAUUUUUAAAAAUUUUGUUAAAAAGAGCAACCUAGGGCUUCCCUGGUGGCGCAGUGGUUGAGAAUCUGCCUGGUAAUGCAGGGGACACGAGUUCAAGCCCUAGUCUGGGAGGAUCCCACAUGCCGCAGAGCAACUAGGCCCGUGAGCCACAACUACUGAGCCUGCGCAUCUGGAGCCUGUGCUCCGCAACAUGAGAGGCCACGAUAGUGAGAGGCCCGUGCACCGCGAUGAAGAGUGGCCCCUGCUUGCCACAACUAGAGAAAGCCCUCGCACAGAAACGAAGACCCAACACAGCAAAAAUAAAUAAAUAAAAUAAUAAUUACAUCUGCAAACAUCCUUUAAAAAAAAAAAAGAGCAACCUAAAU